rnacentral:rRNA from 1 species
AGUGAACGCUGGCGGUAGGCCUAACACAUGCAAGUCGAACGGCAGCACAGUAAGAGCUUGCUCUUACGGGUGGCGAGUGGCGGACGGGUGAGGAAUACAUCGGAAUCUACUUUUUCGUGGGGGAUAACGUAGGGAAACUUACGCUAAUACCGCAUACGACCUACGGGUGAAAGCAGGGGAUCUUCGGACCUUUCGCGAUUGAAUGAGCCGAUGUCGGAUUAGCUAGUUGGCGGGGUAAAGGCCCAACAAGGCGACGAACCGUAGCGGGUCUGAAGGGAAGGUCAGCCAGACUGGAACAGAGGAACAGUCCAGACUCCUACGGGGGGCCACAGUCGGGAAUAUUAGACAAGGGGGGAGAGCCGGAUACAGGCAUACCGCGUGGGUGAAGAAGGCGCUCGGGUGGGUAAGCCCUUUUGUUGGUAGAGAAAAACAGCAGGUUUAUCCCCCACUAUAAUGACGGUACCCAAAGAAUAAGCACCGGCUAACUUCGUG